rnacentral:rRNA from 1 species
GAUGAACGCUGGCGGCGUGCCUAAUACAUGCAAGUCGAGCGAACAGACGAGGAGCUUGCUCCUCUGACGUUAGCGGCGGACGGGUGAGUAACACGUGGAUAACCUACCUAUAAGACUGGGAUAACUUCGGGAAACCGGAGCUAAUACCGGAUAAUAUAUUGAACCGCAUGGUUCAAUAGUGAAAGACGGUUUUGCUGUCACUUAUAGAUGGAUCCGCGCCGCAUUAGCUAGUUGGUAAGGUAACGGCUUACCAAGGCAACGAUGCGUAGCCGACCUGAGAGGGUGAUCGGCCACACUGGAACUGAGACACGGUCCAGACUCCUACGGGAGGCAGCAGUAGGGAAUCUUCCGCAAAGGGCGAAAGCCUGACGGAGCAACGCCGCGUGAGUGAUGAAGGUCUUCGGAUCGUAAAACUCUGUUAUUAGGGAAGAACAAAUGUGUAAGUAACUAUGCACGUCUUGACGGUACCUAAUUAGAAAGCCACGGCUAACUACGUG